rnacentral:rRNA from 1 species
GGUUAAUUUUCCGCAAUGGGCGCAAGCCUGACGGAGCAAUACCGCUUGAGGGAGGAAGGCUCUUGGGUCGUAAACCUCUUUUAUCAGGGAAGAACACAAUGACGGUACCUGAUGAAUCAGCAUCGGCUAACUCUGUGCCAGCAGCCGCGGUAAUACAGAGGAUGCAAGCGUUAUCCGGAAUUAUUGGGCGUAAAGCGUCCGCAGGUGGUUUUGGUAGUCUGCUGUCAAAGCGCGAGGCUCAACUUCGUAUCGGCGGUGGAAACUCCAAGACUAGAGCUAGGUAGGGGUCACGGGAAUUCCCAGUGUAGCGGUGAAAUGCGUAGAUAUUGGGAAGAACACCAGCGGCGAAAGCGCGUGACUGGGCCUGAGCUGACACUCAUGGACGAAAGCUAGGGGAGCGAAAGGGAUUAGAUACCCCUGUAGUCCUAGCCGUAAACGAUGACAACUAGGUGUUGCCCGUAUCGACCCGGGCAGUGCCGUAGCCAACGCGUUAAGUUGUC